GAGAGCGAUCUCUUAAUCGGUACCCUCUGAAGACUAGAGAGGAAAAGUUAGCUUUAUGGGUUAGGGAAGCAGGUGGGAAAUGGUCAAGUGCGACCACGGGACGGAAAGGUGGCUGCUGUGCUCAAUUACCCAACACCUACUACGAGGAGAGAACUACUGCACCGGUGCUGUCCGCCCCCGACCUGACUCGUCCGUUCCAGCUGGAGGUGGACGCCAGCGCGGUUGGAGUGGGAGCUGUCCUUCUGCAGGAGGGUGCUGACAACCUAGGCCACCCUGUAUCAUACUUCUCAGCUAAGUUCAACAGUCAUCAGUUGAAUUAUUCAACCAUUGAAAAAGAGACCUUAGCUCUGUUGCUAGCGUUACAACAGUUUAACGUCUACGUGGGGGCUAGUGCGUCUCCUGUCGUUGUUUAUACAGAUCAUAAUCCACUUGUUUUUCUGAGCAAAAUGUAUAACCAAAAUCAACGACUCAUGCGUUGGGCCUUAAUGGUUCAGCCGUACAAUCUUGAGAUCCGUCAUAAAAGAGGCUCUGACAACGUAGUUGCAGAUGCAUUGUCUCGCGGAUUAAUUUAGGAACAGGUUUUUCUGUAUGAAUCCAUGCAGAAUCAGUUUUUCUUUUUCCCUCUAAGGAAGGAGGAAAAGAGGAAGGAAAAAAAAUGAUUCUUCCUCUAGGGGGGGAAGUGUUACGGCCACAGCCUUCUGAGUUUGUUACUUUUGUAAUUAUUAAUUGGUUUGGCCUUUCUGAGUGCAGGCUCUGCCCCUGCGCACCUGAGAGCGGUUGCGGUGAUGGCUCAGGCUGAGCAUAUAGAGGGGAGAGCGACUGAGCGCCGGGAAAGGAGGAGACCUGCGAGAGCGCCAGGCCCGGCUGCAACACCAGGAGACCAGUGUUUUGUGUUCGAGCGACUAUUGUGUUAUGUUAAGGUGUAAAACGGAGAGGCUGGAGGUUGGAAAACUAUAAAAGAUCUUUGCAUCGCUUCCUGCCUAUC
ensembl:lncRNA